rnacentral:rRNA from 1 species
UACGGGGGGAGCAAGCGUUGUUCGGAUUUACUGGGCGUAAAGGGCGCGUAGGCGGCCAGCGCAAGUCGGUUGUGAAAUCUCCGGGCUUAACUCGGAAAGGUCAACUGAUACUGCGCGGCUAGAGUGCAGAAGGGGCAACUGGAAUUCUCGGUGUAGCGGUGAAAUGCGUAGAUAUCGAGAGGAACACCUGCGGCGAAGGCGGGUUGCUGGGCUGACACUGACGCUGAGGCGCGAAAGCCAGGGGAGCGAACGGG